GAUGAACGCUGGCGGCGUGCCUAAUACAUGCAAGUCGAGCGAAUGGAUUAAGAGCUUGCUCUUAUGAAGUUAGCGGCGGACGGGUGAGUAACACGUGGGUAACCUGCCCAUAAGACUGGGAUAACUCCGGGAAACCGGGGCUAAUACCGGAUAACAUUUUGAACCGCAUGGUUCGAAAUUGAAAGGCGGCUUCGGCUGUCACUUAUGGAUGGACCCGCGUCGCAUUAGCUAGUUGGUGAGGUAACGGCUCACCAAGGCAACGAUGCGUAGCCGACCUGAGAGGGUGACAGGGCACACUGAGACGGAGACACGGCACAGACUCCUACGGGAGGCAGCAGUAGGGAAUCUUCCACAAUGGACGAAAGUCUGAUGGAGCAACGCCGCGUGAGUGAUGGAGGUUCUCGGAUCGUAAAACUCUGUUGUAAGGGAAGAACACGUACGAGAGGAAAUGCUCGUACCUUGACGGUACCUUACGAGAAAGCCACGGCUAACUACGUGCCAGCCGCCGCAGUAA
rnacentral:rRNA from 1 species